rnacentral:lncRNA from 1 species
AUAUUUAACUUAUUAUUAUAGUGAUAGUGGCAAAAAUUAAUGUUAUCAUGUCACUUUAUAAAUAAUUAACUGCCAAUAAGAAAUGGAACUAGCUACAUAGAAUAUAAGUUAUGUAAAAUUUUACUGGUAGUAAUAUCUAGAACAAUAAACAAAUUUAAGUUGUUAGCUACAUAAUACUAAUUAAAUUCUCGAUUUAUAAUGUAGUAGUAGUACAUUACUUUCUUUGAAUAGAUAAGUCUUACUACAUGUUAAUUCAUGCUCUUAGAACUGUUGUUUGUAAUUGUAUGCAUAUAUGAACGGAACCUACUAAAUGCUAAUUGAAUUAUACUACAUGUACAUGGAAAUUUUGAAGAAAGAAUUAUUUAAAUAUAAUUUUUGCAUAAAUCGUAAUUAAAAAGUAAUAGAUGUUGUGGUAAUACAUAUUAUUAAUUUAAAAUCUUAGAUCCGUAUUUUAUUUUCAACUUUCCUGAAGUCCUCAGUGCAUUUUUCGUCGUGUCUCAUGGCAAUAUAAUUAACAAUUUGAUCUAUCAUCUAUGUUAAUAAUCAUUUCUUUUUCAGAGUUGGAUUGACAAUUACUAUCACUCCUUUGGUUGCUUUUUUAUGGAAUAAUAUUUUAUUGCUUCUGUUUGAACAAAUAAUUAAAAGAAAAACAGUGGAUUUUGAUAUAACGUUGUUAAAUUAGAUCAAGUUUGAUGCCCGAAUAGUAGGUAUGCGUGCGCAUGGUCUUGUGAUUAAUUAUUCGUUCUACCCCAUUGGAACUGAAUAAACAUCAUCAAUAUAUUUUAGAAACUUUGGUGGGGGAAAAAAAUAGCGAUAUGCUCUUGAUCGAGCUUGAGAUAAAUAGAAAAAAUAGAUCAAGUAAGUAUGAAAACGCUGUUUCUAACCAUUUGAUAUUACGCACGAUCAACCCUAAAGUGGAAAAAAUUGAGUUUUUAUGGACAGUUUAGGCUAGAAAUUGCAUAGUGUAGUUGAGGAGCCGUAAAUAUUCACUUGCACUCGUCGUUUAAACCAUAUAGUUGGUUAAGUAAUUCAAUGAGGUCAGAAUUUAUAUCACAUAACUAUGGUUAAGUGAUAGAAGUUUAUGUGCAAACACUUAUAAUGCUUCCAUUAAUUUGAUGUGAACAUCGAAUAAGUUUUUUCCUGAAAGGAAUAUUUAAUUUGUCACCUUGCUGCACCUAGAAGGUAUAUAGGAUUCUAGUAUUUAUAUUAUGGGGUUAUUUUGUUGAGAAACAAGUUAUCACAUAACUAAUUAUCUCGGGAUUAGUUAUCUUAUCCUCUACUACAAUUUCGGGGUAAUUAAUCUAGGAAUUAGUUAUACCAUAAUUUUAUCCCAACCAAAUGUAUGAUAAAUUAAACUCAUGUCAAAUUUAAUCGUGCGAUUAAUUAUCCCUUAUUCCUCGUACCAAACGAGCCGUAUAGCUUAACUUGUGAUUGUGUUGUACUUACCAUCUCUAACUCAUUUAACUCUUUCUUGGACUUGCAUAGGUUGAGUUGGUUGAGGGAUCAUCCUACUUGGGGCAACCACUCCCAUUCUCCAUUACAACAUUGAUCUGGAUUGAGGUCCUUGUUAUUGGAUACAUUGAAUUCCAAAGAAAUGCUGAGCUUGACCCGGAAAAGAGGCUUUACCCUGGUGGAUCAUUCUUCGACCCAUUGGGCCUUGCUGCUGACCCGGAGAAAAAGGCCACACUUCAACUUGCUGAGAUCAAGCAUGCUCGUCUUGCUAUGGUUGCAUUCUUGGGUUUUGCUGUCCAAGCUGCUGCUACUGGAAAAGGCCCACUUAACAACUGGGCUACCCACUUGAGUGACCCACUUCACACUACCAUUUUCGACACCUUCGGCUUCUUCUCUUAAGCCCAGCCCAGCUCACCUUUGUUUUUUCAGCUCGAUCUAGUUGAGAGGAUGGUUUUACGUAUAUUAUAUUAUUAUAUUCAUCUGCAUCUUUUCUUAAGCCCAGCACACCUUGUUUUUCAGCUCGAUCUAGUUGAGAGGAUGGUUUUACGUAUAUUAUAUUAUUAUAUUAUUAUAUUCAUCUGAAUCUUGUAAAAAUUGUAACAUUUGACACUCUAAGGAGAAGGCAAUAUCAAACGCUAUUGUUAAUCUAAGUUUGUCCUGUUCUUCAGUGUUGAUAUCGCAAAUUUUCUUACUUCCUUAUGGUUGCAUAAGGAAAUGAUAUAUGAAUGCCAUAGGGUUCUACAAUAGUAAAUCUAAGAGAUUGAUUAACAAAAUAUGCAUAAAAGAGGAUAGGCGUUA